GAAGAAUAAAACCCUAAAAAAUAUUCUUACUCCAUUUUUUCCCUCUCUCCGUGUUGUAGAGAUGCAGAAAGAGGUUUUCAUCUUCCACAUCUCCAAUUCAACUAUUCUAACCUAAACCUUCUUAUUAUCUCACAUCUUUGAUCUUCAGGGAAACGAUUGUAUCUUUGUACCUCAAAAACUAAACCUAACUCAGAUACCAUCGUAUCGUGUUCUCCUCCAACCCUAAAAACCAUUCUUCUCUGCCGCUCUCCAUCUCUCGCCUCUUUUCUUCUCUGUUCUCCUUCGUCUUUUGAUUUCUCUAACAGGAACGAAGAAGUAAGGCACAUCAGGUUCUUCAAUUGUUGAUUUAGGUGUUGACAAGCCUGCCAGGUGAAGCAUACCAAAAAGGUAGACACAGCUGCUCCCUAACGAGACUACUUAAGAUUUCAGAACUUCAGGCUAGAUAUGAUACUUUUGGAGAGGUGGGAAAAGCAUCGGUGUGAACAAAGAGAGCUGGCAGGAAAUGAUCUAUUCUGAUAUAAGUGGGUAUCGAAAGCAGAUAUGAGACUCUUGAUGGAGGAAUUGUCAGAGAGGAAGAUUUACUCUCUGAUAAAUGCUAUUGCAUUCUACUCUAUUCAGGUAUAUCCACAAUCAUUCAGAUAAAGGAAAAAGAAAAUUACCAUGAAUUUGCGCAUUGAUCUUCAAUUGCCUCUGCUCCCAUUCAUCGAGGUUCGCACAUUCUCUCAUUAUACUCUUUGCUUUCAUUUUUUUAAGGUCAGAAAAUUUGAGAUUAGUUAAACACUGGGUCUUAUAAUUGAUCGAAAUUUGAUUGAAUUGGUCCCUAUGAGAUUAGUUAAACACUACGUCUGAAUUCUAUUAUUUUUAUUAGCUAAUUGAUCGAAAUUUGAUUGAAUUGGUCCAUAUGAUUUCCUUAUCAGAUGAACCAACAAUACUAUUGAUUUUCAAAAGAUUAUUAAUUAGGGUUUACUGUUGAUUUCCCCUAAUUUGAUUGAAUUUUUGUGAAUUAGAUUUAAAUUGGUAAAGUCUUUUUAAUUUUUGAUUAUAUUUUUGAUUGAAUAAAAAAGGUUCCCACAGUUGGGACAUCAUUUGAUAGGAAAUUCUUAGAUGGUUUUUCAGCAGAGGCUGGGAAGCAUGGUGAAUCAUUUUUAUACCCGUUCCCUUUUAGUACCAUAGCAAAGAAUUUUCGGGAGAUAUGAUACUUUUGGAGAGGUGGGAAAAGCAUCGGUGUGAACAAAGAGAGCUGGCAGGAAAUGAUCUAUUCUGAUAUAGGUGGGCAUCGAAAGCAGAUAUGAGACUCUUGAUGGAGGAAUUGUCAGAGAGGACGAUUUACUAUCUGAUAAAUGCGAUUGCAUUCUACUCUAUUCAGGUAUAUCCACAAUCAUUCAGAUAAAGGGAAAAAAAUACCAUGAAUUUGCGCAUUGAUCUUCAAUUGCCUAUGCUCCCAUUCAUCGAGGUAGCACUGGCAUCAGGUCAAAGACAUUUCCUUGGAGCUGUGAGGAAAUCUUAGCUAGAACUAAACCUACCGAAUGGUCGAUGUGUUGAGGCAUAUGAAGUUCCACUGUCAACAGUCUACGUUCACAUUACUACACAAGCUCAAGUUAGAGUAGGCAAAUUGUUAGCAAAGGCGUUUUAUUCCUUCAACAUAGCUUGAUUAUCAAUGCAAUAGCUCUCCACUUAUGACAUAUUGAUCAACAUAUUCCUGAUUUGUGAAUAUAUAUAUAUAUAUAUAUAUAUAUAUAUAUUUGGUUUCUCCCACAAAGAAACAAGGUUCCUCAUGGGUACAUUCACAUUUGCUGCUUCUUUAUUGGGGGCUUUUUGUGGGAGGUCUGCAGAGUUGUGUAUGCUUGGAAUUACUAUUGGAGCAGCACUAGUUACUCAUCUAGGGUAAAUGUCAAGACCAGCAAGGAGGGGAGGUAAAAAAAUUGUAUUAUCAUUUUGUGAUGAGGCUGAGCGAGAAUACAAGUCCCUUAGUUGUGGAGCAUUCUUGGGAAUGCUUCAAGUAGUUAGACAUAACAGUAUAUGCAUGUCUAAUUAAUUAGUCAUUUUGUUUUCUUCUGCUUGAGGCUUCCUAGAAACGGAGGGAAGUCGUGGCAUCACCUUGAAGUCGCUCAGAAUGGGUAAAUUUCUAUGGCAACCGACUUCAAUUGCACAGUUUAUUAAAUCCGUGAAAAUGAAAGAAGCUAUUAUUUUGGCUGCCAAGAAGUUGCAGUGGAGACUGAUGAAGACUUUGGAAUGAAUCCCAAUAUUGUCAAAAUUAAUAUCAAGUUGUAGGCAAUUCAUUUGUAAAAUUUCUCUAAUUUUCAUGAAAAUUGAUUUAUGUAGUUUUUCCCAUGGAUUUUAGGUGAUGCAUAUUCGUAAUGUAUUUCAUAUGGAAAAACUAUAAGUUUCCUUAAUAGUGAUAGUUGGUCCUGCUCUUGAAGAUUUCCUUGCCCAAGUAUCUUAGAAAAAUUAUUUCCUUGUAAUCAUGGGUCUCAUAUUUGGGAAUGGUUCUCCUACGUGUAUGUACAUAAAUCUGAAUGGUGACUAUUUCAAUUUAUUGUUUGGUUCACAGUGUGUGUCGAGACGGAAUUCAAGGUGAAGUCCUGCCAAGGCUUUCUAUUGAAGUGGUGAAACCGGAGAUACAUUUGUUGUUGAUCUUUCUUUGGUUUUGACCAUGAACGCAAUUGGUAGAUUGGAUGAUUGAGUUGCACCACAGGGAAUGCUGGAGUAGAAGACAUAACUGUGUGGAGGUUUCUGAGAAAUUUUACUAUACAAGUCAGAGCUUCAAAGAGGUUGUCGUAUUCUGCUGCUGGCCCGGGUAUUAAUGUGAACAGAAUCCCAGACAUGGACCAGAUUAUGCAAACUUGCAAAAAGAGGGUCUUUGCUAAGUCAGUCAAGGUCAAUUCACAAAAUCUCUAACUUGGAUAUACGGAGGCACACCCAGUGGCUGGCUGAAUUCACAAAAUCUUUACCAAAUCAUACCGGGACUGGGGCGAGGCGAAGCCGAGCUUUACCAAAUCAUAUCGGGACUGGGGCGAGGCGAGGCCGAGCUUUACCAAAUCAUAUCGGGACUGGGGCGAGGCGAGGCCGAGCUUUACCAAAUCAUAUCGGGAUUGGGGCGAGGCGAGGCCGAGCUUUACCAAAUCAUAUCGGGACUGGGCGAGGCGAAGCCGAGCUUUACCAAAUAUAAAAUAUGGUUCAAAGAAAGAGGCAUUUAUGCAUUGUAUUUGUAGUUGUAGAUUGAAUUGGUGAACCAAAUUUGAGAAGCUGACCGGGCGUAGCACGGGCACAAAAUCUAGUAUAUAUAUAUAUAUAAGAGAAUUAUUAGGUUGA